rnacentral:tRNA from 1 species
CGGUGGAUAGCUCAAUAGGUAGAGCGCAUGAUUAGUCAUCAUGAGUUGUUGGUUCGAUUCCAACUCCAUCAA